CAAGCUUAUACACAGUAACAAGUGGUUUUUUUUCUUGUGUAUUUAAUAUGAAAGCACUUGUUUAUAUUGUGACAUGAGAGCGUAGGCUAUCAUUCCAAUCAAUGGUUUUCAGAUCCCCUAUUAUAGACACAAAAUUGUUAAGUUUAGUGUUACCUCUCGUUCGCAAAAAAGAUAUUUUAGAAUAUUCAAUAAUUAACAAUAAACUAGGAUGAUUCGCGUAUAUUUUAAUUAACGAGUCGGAGGGGGCUGAUACAUUAAUAAUAGACAUAUUACAUAAUACUAAAUCUAAGAAACGAUCAUCGCUAUUACCUAUACUAUUAAAUUGCUUUAGGCUAUUCAUAGACAUAAAGUCAAUCAAGGCAAAGCCAAGUGUAUUGCUAUAUUUACAAGGUGUCAUAAAAACUUCAUUAUUUGGCGAUCUCCAAUGGAGGAGAAAACUGCCAAACUUUGCCACUAGUAGCGCUGGUAACGCUUGACCCAUAACAAAUGCAAACAAACGUCAAAUCCCAAACUUUAUUAUUAUAACACAAGAUAAAACAUUAUUUUUCUCCAAACAUGCCUCGCUGUGCAGCAAUCGGUUGUAAUAAUAAUGGAAAUCACAGUUUCCCUAAUGAUUUACGCAUAAGAAGACUCUGGGAAAAAGCUCUGAAAAAACUUAAUUUCAAAGCUACAAACUUUUCGAGGUUAUGUUCGGAACAUUUUAUUGAAUCCGAUUAUGAAGGCAUCAGCUGUUCUACAGGUUUACUUCAACUUCAUAGAUAUUUGAAAAAGACUGCAAUCCCAACUGUUUUCGCUUGGAAGAAACCCACUACCACAGCAAGUAUCGCAAGGGAACAAAGAUAUUUGAAACGUGAUUGUAGAAAAACACUGGUUUUCCCAUCAACAUCUGCAACAGAGAUUGACAUUAAUAUUCCUUCUAUACCUGAAGAUACCAUUGAAGUUUCGUCUCAGGUUCCUGUCUUUCAAGUUGAAGUUGAACUGAUGACCAGUCCAGCCCAGGAAAUCAGGGUAGCCCCAUCUCGAUCCGCUCCAAAUAGAGUAUCAACUCAAACUCCACAUUUAUUUAGAUUCUUUUCCUCGGAUGAUAUGUUAUCAGAUGCCAGAUCAGUUUUGUUUUAUACAGGUUUAGAGGAAGUUUCUAAAUUUAAUUUGGUGUUCUCUACGUUAUUACCAAUGGCAUAUCAUUUCAUCAGUGUAAUUGAUCAAUUUCGAUGUUAGUUAAACUAAGAAGAAAUAAACCUGAUUUUGAGAUGGCAAAUUUUUUUGGUAUAAGUACUACUGCUGUAGGGAACAUAUUUUACAUGGGUAAAUUUUGUAUAUGAAUUGUGGAAAAAUAUAGAUAUUUGGCCUAGUCGCUCACUGGUUGAUUAUUAUAUGCCAGAUUCAUUUAAGCAACAUCAUCCAGCUACCAGAGUGAUAAUAAUAGAUGGGACAGAAAUACCUAUAACAAAACCAAAAAACCCUACAGCGCAACAAGCAACUUUUAGUAGCUACAAACACCACAACACCAUAAAAUUCUUGGUGGGUGCUACACCUGGUGGCCUGAUAUCGUUUUGUUCAGAUGGAUAUGCAGGAUCUACCAGUGACCGCCAAAUAACGGAAAGAAGUUCCCUUUUAGCUGUUAUUGAUGAAAAAGAUGCAAUUAUGGCUGACCGUGGAUUCAAUGUGCAAGAUCUAUUUGAACAAAAAGAUGUUGCCAUUUAUACACCAACAUUUUUGAAGGGUCUAUCACAAAGUACUUGGUGUAAAAUUAAAACAUGAUAUACAAUUAGCAAAAAAUCGUAUACAUAUUGAACGUCUUAUUGGGCUAACAAAAACAUUUAAAAUAUUAAAAGGUGAUGUGAAUUCUUUUUAUGUGCCAUUAUUAUCAAGAAUAUUUUUUAUUUGUGUUAUGCUAUGAAAUUUUAAAGAAGGAAUUGUGAAAUAAAAGUCCAAAGUAA